UACAGAGGGGGCUAGCGUUGUUCGGAAUUACUGGGCGUAAAGGGCGCGUAGGUGGCCUGUUAAGUCGAACGUGAAAUCCCCGGGCUCAACCCGGGAACUGCGUCCGAGACUGGCAGGCUCGAAUCCGGGAGAGGGAUGUGGAAUUCCAGGUGUAGCGGUGAAAUGCGUAGAUAUCUGGAGGAACACCGGUGGCGAAGGCGGCAUCCUGGACCGAGAUUGACGCUGAGGCGCGAAAGCUAGGGGAGCAAACGGG
rnacentral:rRNA from 1 species